CAAACUUGGUGACAGAGUGUCUGCUUUGCACGCAGAAGAACCUGAGUUCAAUCCCUCAGCAUCUUGA